rnacentral:rRNA from 1 species
UACGGGGGGGGCAAGCGUUGUUCGGAAUUACUGGGCGUAAAGGGCUCGUAGGCGGCCAACUAAGUCAGACGUGAAAUCCCUCGGCUUAACCGGGGAACUGCAUCUGAUACUGGAUGGCUUGAGUUCGGGAGAGGGAUGCGGAAUUCCAGGUGUAGCGGUGAAAUGCGUAGAUAUCUGGAGGAACACCGGUGGCGAAGGCGGCAUCCUGGACCGACACUGACGCUGAGGAGCGAAAGCUAGGGGAGCGAACAGG